AUUGAACGCUGGCGGCAGGCCUAACACAUGCAAGUCGAACGGUAACAGGAAGAAGCUUGCUUCUUUGCUGACGAGUGGCGGACGGGUGAGUAAUGUCUGGGAAACUGCCUGAUGGAGGGGGAUAACUACUGGAAACGGUAGCUAAUACCGCAUAACGUCGCAAGACCAAAGAGGGGGACCUUCGGGCCUCUUGCCAUCGGAUGUGCCCAGAUGGGAUUAGCUAGUAGGUGGGGUAACGGCUCACCUAGGCGACGAUCCCUAGCUGGUCUGAGAGGAUGACCGGCAAACCUGGAACUGGGAAACGGUCCAACUCCCAAGGGAGGGCGGCGGUGGGAAAUAUGGCCCAAGGGGGGAAAGCCUAAUGAGGCCAGGCCGGGGGUAUGAAGAAGGCCUUCGGGUGGUAAGUACUUUCAGCGGGGAGGAAGGGAGUAAAGUUAAUACCUUUGCUCAUUGACGUUACCCGCAGAAGAAGCACCGGCUAACUCCGUG
rnacentral:rRNA from 1 species